CAGGGAAUUUUCCACAAUGGGCGAAAGCCUGAUGGAGCAACGCCGCGUGCAGGAUGAAGGCCUUCGGGUUGUAAACUGCUUUUAUACGUGAAGAAUAUGACGGUAGCGUAUGAAUAAGGAUCGGCUAACUCCGUGCCAGCAGCCGCGGUCAUACGGAGGAUCCAAGCGUUAUCCGGAUUUACUGGGCGUAAAGAGUUGCGUAGGUGGUAGUUUAAGCGAAUAGUGAAAUCUUGUGGCUCAACCAUAAGGCUAUUAUUCGAACUGGGCUACUCGAGAACGAGAGAGGUCACUGGAAUUCCUUGUGUAGGAGUGAAAUCCGUAGAUAUAAGGAGGAACACCAAUGGCGUAGGCAGGUGACUGGCUCGUUUCUGACACUGAGGCACGAAAGCGUGGGGAGCGA
rnacentral:rRNA from 1 species